rnacentral:lncRNA from 1 species
UUUUAAAAAUCCAUUACAUUGUUUUACCGAAGAUGGAUAAUUAACAGUUAUUCUGUGAACUCGAGUCGUAUAUGAGCUGAUAUACGACGAGGUGUGUAGCACCGAGUAUCUGUCUUAUACGGCGAGUGUAAGUAGAAUAACUGUUUUAUUAUAUAGACAACUACUGAAUUCACAGACUCAUCUGUAUGGCAAUAUUUUGGCAGUUAGUUUAGCAAUCAACACAACUUGCCCUAAACCUGAUAAACCACUGCUGCUAUUUCUUUAGAUAAUACUUCAAACACUGCUC